AGAGCAGAAGGAGAGCUUGUUAGUCUGGAUGUGAGUGUGGGAGGGAGAUGGUUUUACUGUAGGUGCUCUGCUCGUGUAGAAGGUUAUCACCACAAAUUCCUUUUUUCCCUGCGUGGAGCUAUGAAUAUUAAAUAUCUAAGCAUCUGUGGCUAAGACCAGCAGCAAUAAGAAUUAAAUAGCAAAGACUCCAAGGCAACAUGAAGCAAUGAACAUUCCUCACUUUAAAAACCUUGCAGAGCAGAAGCCUUCCAAUGAGAAUUGAUGCAGAAGCUGGACUGCAAACAUGCCUUCAUGAUAAAGUGUCUCCAAAACUGACUGCAUCUUGGCUUUAAGGAAUUGACUGUGUUUGAUCUCCAAGAGUGUUUAAAGAGGAUAAUUGGCUGAUUCAGAGGAUGGGAGCAUCCUGAGUUCGGUGGUGCUGUGCAAGAGGAGAACUUGCCUGAUGACACUUUCUACCGCCCCUUGCUGCUUGUGAUCCUUUGGACCAGGUUAUGGGUGAGAACUCCCCACAGCCAGCGUUGGUGUAUGAUGCUGUGGAGCAGGGCCACACACUCAGCAUAGGUCUGCCUUGCAGCACAAAAUUAUGUUAGUCAGGUGAACCCAUGUUCAAACCCAUGCUGCAGAAGGGAAUUUAAUGGGCUUGGAGAAAAAGCAAAGUCAGACCAGUUUAGUUUUUCCCAUGCAAAAUGUAUGGCAAUAAACUGAGUGUGGCUUUCUGGUAGGAAUAGCAAUUCAUUGUUUACUGAUCCAAGUAAGAAACAUUUGCGUUUCUUUGUUAUUCUAUGGACAAUACUGAUCUCCUUCAAAGGUGGCUGGAGCUUGUGUGGCAAUCUUUGCUUGUUUGUCCUCUACACCUCUAGAUCCUGAUUGAAAAGAGAUGUAAAAUGUUCUGUUUCCUUCUCACUUGCCUUCAGAUUUGUGCAUAUUUAAUCCAGACUUUUUAAUAAAAUGUAUUUGUAUGGUG